rfam:Myotis lucifugus cont2.47165, whole genome shotgun sequence.
GGCGGUUCUCGGGUGAUGCACCCUGGAAUCAGGCUCCCUCCUCUCUGGUUCCAGGGUGUGUCACCUGAGAACCGCC